GACGAACGCUGGCGGCGUGCUUAACACAUGCAAGUCGAACGGAAAGGCCCUGCUUUUGUGGGGUGCUCGAGUGGCGAACGGGUGAGUAACACGUGAGUAACCUGCCCUGGACUUUGGGAUAACUUCAGGAAACUGGGGCUAAUACCGGAUAGGAGCUCCUGCUGCAUGGUGGGGGUUGGAAAGUUUCGGCGGUUGGGGAUGGACUCGCGGCUUAUCAGCUUGUUGGUGGGGUAGUGGCUUACCAAGGCUUUGACGGGUAGCCGGCCUGAGAGGGUGACCGGCCACAUUGGGACUGAGAUAAGGCCCAGACUCCUACGGGAGGCAGCAGUGGGGAAUAUUGCACAAUGGGCGGAAGCCUGAUGCAGCAACGCCGCGUGCGGGAUGACGGCCUUCGGGUUGUAAACCGCUUUCGCCUGUGACGAAGCGUGAGUGACGGUAAUGGGUAAAGAAGCACCGGCUAACUACGUG
rnacentral:rRNA from 1 species